rnacentral:rRNA from 1 species
AUACCCUGGUAGUCCACGCCGUAAACGAUGUCUACUUGGAGGUUGUGGCCUUGAGCCGUGGCUUUCGGAGCUAACGCGUUAAGUAGACCGCCUGGGGAGUACGGUCGCAAGAUUAAAACUCAAAUGAAUUGACGGGGGCCCGCACAAGCGGUGGAGCAUGUGGUUUAAUUCGAUGCAACGCGAAGAACCUUACCUACUCUUGACAUCCAGAGAACUUUUCAGAGAUGAAUUGGUGCCUCCGGGAACUCUGAGACAGGUGCUGCAUGGCUGUCGUCAGCUCGUGUUGUGAAAUGUUGGGUUAAGUCCCGCAACGAGCGCAACCCUUAUCCUUGUUUGCCAGCGAGUAAUGUCGGGAACUCCAGGGAGACUGCCGGUGAUAAACCGGAGGAAGGUGGGGACGACGUCAAGUCAUCAUGGCCCUUACGAGUAGGGCUACACACGUGCUACAAUGGCGCAUACAGAGGGCGGCCAACUUGCGAAAGUGAGCGAAUCCCAAAAAGUGCGUCGUAGUCCGGAUUGGAGUCUGCAACUCGACUCCAUGAAGUCGGAAUCGCUGGUAAUCGUGGAUCAGAAUGCCACGGUGAAUACGUUCCCGGGCCUUGUACACACCGCCCGUCACACCAUGGGAGUGGGCUGCAAAAGAAGUAGGUAGUUUAACCUUCGGGGGGACGCUACCACUUUGU